GUUUGUUCACUAACACCUCUAUCCCCGGCUGGCAUUUUGCAGGUGUUUCCGUGCCGUGAGGAUUAGGUGGCUGAAGCUCAAGCAGGGCUCCUGAACCUUGUUGUUCUACACGUACCUGACAAACACAGCCAGGGGCACUGGGAACAACUGAGACAAAGCAACUUGCUUCACUGGGUAAUAAACCCCCAAGCAGCUGGACUUUGGAUGAGCUGCUCUGGUGACCUGGA